UGUGAGGGCGAUACGGCUGCAGCAUCUGUCACCCCACUGAUCGCAAGGGUUGGUUCGGCUGAACUGGCUGGCUAGGCGGGUGUCCCCUUCCUCCCUCACUGC
rnacentral:sRNA from 1 species